UCUCUCCACUGUUUUUCUGAAUGUCCAUCUUCCAAGGAGCCUGAAUUCCUCGGAGUGCCGUGGACUGAGUGAGUAUUGGUUUAGGAAACUCGAGGAUACGCCCCCAGUGGAAGUUCCAUGGAUGCCUCUGAGGCCCCGGCAUUGCCUGGUGGGGUCCACGUGAUAAGGGCUCAGCACGUUCCCGGGGGCGGUGACGGAGGAGAAGAGGAGACUGUACGCACAGGACCAGGGGAAGUGCACUUUGGAGGGCAGGCACAU